rnacentral:rRNA from 1 species
AGCGAACGCUGGCGGCAGGCUUAACACAUUGCAAGUCGAGCGGGCCCUUCGGGGUCAGCGGCAGACGGGUGAGUAACACGUGGGAACGUACCCUUUGGUUCGGAAUAACGCUGGGAAACUAGCGCUAAUACCGGAUACGCCCUUUUGGGGAAAGGCUUGCUGCCGAAGGAUCGGCCCGCGUCUGAUUAGCUAGUUGGUGGGGAAUAGGCCUACCAAGGCGACGAUCAGUAGCUGGUCUGAGAGGAUGAUCAGCCACACUGGGACUGAGACACGGCCCAGACUCCUACGGGAGGCAGCAGUGGGGGAAUAUUGGACAAUGGGGCGCAAGCCUGAUCCAGCCAUGCCGCGUGAGUGAUGAAGGCCUUAGGGUUGUAAAGCUCUUUUGUCCGGGACGAUAAUGACGGUACCGGAAGAAUAAGCCCCGGCUAACUUCGUGCCAGCAGCCGCGGUAAUACGAAGGGGGCUAGCGUUGCUCGGAAUCACUGGGGCGUAAAGGGGCGCGUAGGCGGCCAUUCAAGUCGGGGGGUGAAAGCCUGUGGCUCAACCACAGAAUUGCCUUCGAUACUG